UACAGAGGUCUCAAGCGUUGUUCGGAUUCAUUGGGCGUAAAGGGGUGCGUAGGCGGCGCGGUAAGUCGGGUGUGAAAUCUCGGGGCUUAACUCCGAAACUGCAUUCGAUACUGCCGUGCUUGAGGACUGGAGAGGAGACUGGAAUUUACGGUGUAGCGGUGAAAUGCGUAGAUAUCGUAAGGAAGACCAGUGGCGAAGGCGGGUCUCUGGACAGUUCCUGACGCUGAGGCACGAAGGCCAGGGGAGCAAACGGG
rnacentral:rRNA from 1 species